AGAGAGUUUCAUGGCCCAUAUGGUGCUGUUGGACCCACAGUGUUUGUACAUAAAGGCUGUCUGCUGGAUAGGGUUUUUGCUGCAUGGAGAAGGAAGUUUGGUUUGGAUUUACAAGUCUCAGGAGAAAGGUAAAUGCAUUUUCCUGGGCCUCUGUUGAAGCAGCCAGGUGCCACUUCUUGGAGCUGUUGCUGGUCCCUAACAUAGCCACAGAGAGCAUCGGGAUACAGGACACCGAAGGACCUCACUGUUCCAGAGGAUGCAGCAGAAAAUACAUCAAACCCAUGAAGAAGAGAAUAAUGAGAUAAUGCAUGCAGAGCACUGGCCAGAAGCCUUGCCUUAGAGGAAGCACUCACUGAGAAUUUGCCCUGUAUGUUUAUUGGUGAUUAUGACUAAUUCCUGUCAAUGACGCAGGGCAGACCCAACACUGUAUACAAAUGGACACACCUACUGAAAUCAAAGGCUGCACUACUUGUUGAGAGGCUUAUGGGGAAAGUUGCCAGAGAGCAAUCCAGUUAUCAGCCUCAGCCCCA